GGGGCCGACAUGGUUUUGACAGCAGGUUGAAUUGGUACGUAAGCAUGCCGGGUUUUGUAUAUUUCCCGUAAAAAGAAUGUUCACACUUUUUUUAAUUGGCAACAAUAAUUAUGCGCUCGCAGCGUAAUCAGGCAAAGCCGGUUACUGCUUAAUCCACGACUACAAUAGGUCGGGACGAGUCACUCCCGGAUGGUGUUUCCCGAUACCGGUCCGAUAAGGAGUGCCAGAAGUUUGGGAUAGCUUUUACGGCGCCGCGACGUAGGAGCGAAAUUCAGCGGAUAAGGUCAGUUUGCGGGUGUCCAUACCCUGAUCUGACCCGACAAUUAAGAAUGGACUAAGCAUGUAGAAAGCGUAUGGGUUGCCUGUCUGGACGCGGGUUCGACUCCCGCCGGCUCCACUG
rfam:Salinivirga cyanobacteriivorans strain L21-Spi-D4 chromosome, complete genome.